rnacentral:rRNA from 1 species
CAGUCGCCGCGGUAAUACGUAGGUCCCGAGCGUUGUCCGGAUUUAUUGGGCGUAAAGCGAGCGCAGGCGGUUAGAUAAGUCUGAAGUUAAAGGCUGUGGCUUAACCAUAGUACGCUUUGGAAACUGUUUAACUUGAGUGCAAGAGGGGAGAGUGGAAUUCCAUGUGUAGCGGUGAAAUGCGUAGAUAUAUGGAGGAACACCGGUGGCGAAAGCGGCUUUCUGGCUUGUAACUGACGCUGAGGCUCGAAAGCGUGGGGAGCAAACAGGAUUAGAUACCCCAGUAGUCCCUGUCUCUUAUACA